AGGAGAUCCCGCUCAGUACAGUGUAUAUCCAGCAGAGCGAGAGGGCUACCACCCAGCCAACUGCAGCUCCAAAACUCAGAGCAUGAAUAAUCUAUUUAUGGAGGAGAAAAGCUCAGACGCUCUGCCCCCCAGCUUUGCUGAUGUGGCUGCAGGACUAGACCGAGCCUCAGACCCCAGCAGUGCGUACGUUCAGGAAGAGAUGUGGGCUCCUCCCUCAGUUCCUCUGACCAAUGGCUUUAGGUACAGCAUGCCCGACCCCCUCAACGUAGUGUCACAAAGCUCCGCCCCCAGCCCAUUCAGCGGAAGUUUCCCCUGGAAUAACUAAGCCAGUCAGUGCAGUAACCCAUACUCCUACUGCCCUCAGAACAGCUACGUUUUACCUGGUAACGGUAAUUACCAAAAUAGCUUCUCGUGCCAAGAACUCGCGGCCCACGGCCAGCAGUCCGGCUGGAGCGAGGACGCCGUUCAAGAAGUGGCCUCAUCCUGGGACAUGACCAGCUGUGUGGGCAGCAAGCCCUUUUUCUCAGGCACUCGCAGUCUCUCGCCCAUCUCCUCCAGUCUGUUCGGCUCUAUCUGGACACCCCAGAGCGAACCCUAUCAGAGCCACUUCCAGCCCGAGCGCUCGGCCCCCGUCUCGCCACACACACCUCAC
rnacentral:lncRNA from 1 species